UAUUGGUCGAUUGACCAAAUCUAGAAAAAAUGUAUAAAUUCACCUCAAUUGUUUAAACAUUCAGUGAAACAUCAUAUUUAAUACGAAUAAAUUCAACAUCUUAAUAAAUAUAAUGACCAAAUGCUAAUAUAAUAUUAUAUACUUUAAAAAAUGGAGUGAAUUGAACUCUUCUCCAAUUCAAAUCAAGAGCGAGGAAAGGAGAACCAUUUUCAAUAUGAAAAGGGCAGAGAAAGGAAUUUGCAUUUGUCUUUGUUAGGCUAAAACUUUAUAUGUAGUGGGCCAUUAAGCAUGACAAUUGAAAAGAAGCCAUCGAAUGGUAGUAGAAUGCUUGGCUGGGAGUUCACGAUAAUGGCUAGCAUGGACACGGCAUUGGCAACCCCCAUUUUCAAACUCUUGGCCAGUGAGCUUUAUGAAAAGCAUGCUGACCUUGGAUUUCCAUUCCCCCAAACAAAAUGACAAAUUCAUCAAAUAUCAAUACCUGAGAACAAUAUAAAAUUUCUGGUUUUCUCAUUUUGGGAAAAUUAUCAGGAACAAUAUACAUCUGCUAUUCAUGUGAGAAAAUGAGAAUGCAACUAUUUUACCUCAUCAUUUUUGCUAAUUUAUGUAAAUACUAUAAUGGAUGAAAAUUACAGCUAAAGAUGACAUGAAACAAAGAAUAAAACGAUAACAACACAUGCCUUUCGUAAGAUUUAGAACAAUAACAGAAAGAAAUAGUUUAUCUUGACAGUGGGAAGAAUUCAUACCUGGAGCAAUCAUGGCCGACAAAGCCAAGCAAAUUGCAGAUCAUAGAACUAUCCACUUCGCCAUAUCUAUUAGGCUGCACUUAAUGGUGAUAAAUUUGCAAAGUGAUGUUACUUGAUAAGCUCUAUAGGGUGUUUACAAUCAUAUGAAGCCUGUCGGUUAGUCUGUUAGUUUCACAAAUGCAAAAGAUAUCAAGACUGCACCAGAUAUUAGUAAUAGGGGACAAUGAAGUCAAGCAUGUACUACUUGAAUAUUUAGCGUCGCACUUCAGAAGUAUUAUGUUGUAUUCAGUAAAUAAAGUUUUACCAAUAUCUUGAGCAUUCUCCUCUAACUAGGGCCAGAUCUCCAAUACAUUAAAUCUCCUGCUUCUCAACAGAUCAGAAAAGUUGUUGAAAAUUAAAUUCAAGGUGUCAUUCUGGAUUCUGGAAGUCUUCAUUGUGUACAGCUUGUUGCAUAAUAAAAGAAUAAGUUGAUGAAGGACUUAGGGUCAAAGUGAAAGACAGAUUGAAGCAGGGCUGCUCAUUGCUACAUAUGGAUGAUGCUGGCAAAACCUGAACACUGAUAGUGAGUCUGUUCUCAGAACCUAUGCUCAUAGUGCUGGACUUUGGAAAGAAUGACAUCACAACACAGCACCAUAGAGAAUUACAGCAGCAGAAAGUAUCAUGGUGGAAAAGGAAAAGAAAAACAGUGGGAUGCUAAUCCCACGAGCAUCCAUCUGCAUAUGUUUGCUGACUUCUAAGAGACUUUAUCAAGGUUACGAGAACAAAACCAUAAACUGGACAAGCUUACAACCUCAGCUUUGAUGUCCAUCAAGAAGCUCUCAGUUUCUACCUUCUACGUAAGCCCAAAGUCUUUUUCACUAUGCAAUUCCUUCAAAGUGGUUCAGACUUCAGAUGAAAAGGAACCGAAGAUCUCUAAAUUAGUUUCACUAUGCCUCUGUUCUCAGUGCCAACAUCAUCACCAUUUGGCAUUUAGUGCAUCCUCAUUCCAUCUCUCUGACAAAUAGCAACUGCAAAACCAAUGCUGAAACAGCUAUUAUUACAAUGACAUUGCAACCCUUAAUCCAUACAUUGCUGCACCUUGCCUCCAAGGGCGCAACCACAAACUUCUCUAUUGUCACUUUUUCUUCCAUUCCUUAGCCCUGCUUAGACUUUCAGAGAGAAAAAGGAGGGGCAAAAAAAAAUAAAAAAAUGCAAAACAGAUAAAUAGUUACAAAAUGAGCGCAGUAUGUCACUAUGUCAAUGAUCCAGCAAAAAAAUCUAAGAUCCAAGUGGAAAUAGAGUCAGCUAAGUAAAACUUUCUUAAAGAAAAGCAAAAGUAAGUAGUACGCACAGAACACUUUAAACAAUGCAGGCACAUAGAUUUAGUUUAACUUAUCAGGCAGAAGUUUAGAAACAACUUGUGAACCUAAAGUAUGUGACUAACCAGCCAAGCAGCGAUAAAAGGAGACACAUGCUAUAGAUCAACCAAACAGCGCACUUUUGCUCCUGUUAGAGGGGAGAUAUCAAAUUGAUGGAAUGGCAAAACACAUCCUUAAACAUUCGGUUGAACUUUUCCCUUGCAGUUCUUGAAUCUUCUAAGCAUGUAGGCUCCAUGCCCAAAAAGGAAAGGAAAAGUAAGCAUAAUCUAGUGAACAGAAUCCCAUCACUCACUAAGAAUUGGGCAUGAAGUUGAAGAAUGAAAAACCUCUAAUUGCUGCUGGAGAAAAGCAAGAAGCUAAAAAAAAAAGGAUAAGCAAAACUAGCAAACAACAAUAGUUGAUAAUUGAUAGUAAUCUCCAUCUUAUAACAUGUAGCAUCCACCAGUCAGAGUCAGGCCAACAUCAAAACUAUACAAAGAAUUACAAAAGGCAACAUAUCUUGAGUUUUUCUCAUGGGACUACAUAAGCCAAAUUCUUAUUUUUAUUAUUUCAUGACAAGAUGCAAGGCCAAAAAGGCUUAGAAUUGACCAAUGGCCAUUAAUUACAUAAGAAAUUUAGCAUCCCAACUUUUCAUUUAGAACUUCUAAGAUCAAUAUAUAAUGGUAUUGCCAAGUAAAAAGGGCACACACACUUUCUAUCCAUAUAAGAGACCAGAAUCUAAACGAACAGAAACUUUCUAAAUGCUUCAAAAGUGCAGGUUACUAUCAAGUUUUGGACGAUUUUUAUCACCAAAUUCUUCUCCAAAUAUUUAUCAAUUCAUGCCAGCUGCUUUCUAGAUUCAAAAGCAAUCAUUCCACCCACUACCACAUUUUUAUCAGCUCUGAGAAAACUGAUCAACGAUACACAUAAUGACAGUAAAAUUUCAAAAUCCUGUUUCAAUAACAAACAAUUUUUAUCCUCAGCUUUUGGAGGAAAUUUAUUGAAGAUCAUGAUGUCAUCAUAAUUAAAGAUGUUACAGAAACAUGUCACUACUUUAAUACAGGUAGUAUACAGGCAUUUUGGACCCCCAAGCAAGAAGAUUAUGCAGAUAGAUGAUCCGUGCAACUAUAUUUCACAAGUUGCUCCACAGGAAUUCUCAAAAACUGACUUUACUCAAGAAAGGGCAAAAGGAAAGGUCUGCAAUGAAAAGAAAAUUUGGCUUUCUUUUCUGUCCCAGCUACACUCCAUUAAAGAAGAAUGACAAGAAGAUGAGCAUAACUUACCCUUUCAAUUUCCAGGACAUCUAUUAAAGACAGGGAGAUACGAGUCAUCAACCUGAGCCAAAUCGAUAAGUAUUAUACUAGUGACGUUACAGAAAAAAUUCUCCAAGGCAGAUGGUCUAUUACUUCAGCAUCUCCUAUAUUCGCUGAACCUUGAGACUAGAUGGGCAUAUUGCCCCUUCUCCACCAUCUGUCUUAUUACUUCACGGGCUUCAGAAAGCUUUCCAGCAUUCUGCAUAUUGCUCACCAGGGUGCUGUACACAAGAAAAUUAGGACUACAUCCUCUGGAUUCCAUUUCAUUGAGCAUGGAACAGGCCUCCUUAAACCUCCCUGCCAUACAAAACCCACGAAUCAUAGAAUUAUAGGUAAAUACAUUUGGCAACUGGCCCCUGGCUGUCAUCUCAUCAAACAAUGCCUGAGCCUUUUCAAGCUCUCCUGCCAUUAUGUAUCCUGUGAUCAUUACAGUGUAACAAACAACAUCUGGCUUGCAUCCAUUUUUUAUCAUUUCUUCAAAGAAAUACUUGCAGGCAUCUAAAUUCCCAGCUCGGCUUAGUCCAUCUAUCAAAGUAGUGAAGUGAAGGACAUUGGGAUCAAAGCCAACGUCCUUCAUAUGAUUCAAAAGAUUAAGUGCCGCAAGUGGCUUGUCCCCUUUACCAAGAACAUGGAGAAGGAUAUUAUAAGUAUGAAAAUCUGGAGAAAAUCCACUCCUAGCCAUUUCAUCAAGCAAUCUAUUAAACUGAUCCAACUUCCCCAAUCUAUACUUUGUACACAUAAGAAUAUUAUAAGUUAGAAUAUCUGGGGAAUAACCCUCAACUAGCAUGUGCUGAUGUACCCACUCAAUCAGCUUGUAUUGAUGAACUGCAAAAAGUGAAUAUAGGAUUGCAUUGUAACAAUGUUUGAAUGGCCUAUAAUUGAAUUUCUUCGAUUUAAUGAACCUCUCCACGACUUUCCUAGCCAAUCCUGCCUCACCACAAGUACAGAUCAAUAUGUUAAAUGUCCGUGCUGUAGUUGAGAAACCAUUCUCAACCAUUUCAUCAAGCAGUCUCCACAUUGCCUUAAACUCCUCACAUUCUGCUAAUAUCUUCAUUAUCAAAUGAUAAGUAUUCACAGUAUGCCUGUACUUUUCCUGCUGACCGGACCACAAGAAAAAAGUAUACCCUAAUAUAGCAGACCUUUCUUUAUUCUCAUAAUUUAUGUUCUUCAAAAUCCCCACAAGGACCUCCCUGACAAGAAGCCCUGAGACCCUUAUAUGCAACUCACUUAGAGAAGCUUUUGCAUUGAAGCCAAGGCCAUCCCGUCGUAGAAUAUCAAGAACUCUUGCAGCGUCGCUCCUCACGUACUCAAAGAAACGCUGCCUUGGGGAGAAAUGCUCUUCAUUACAGCUUUCAUAUCCUGAAGAAUCAAAAUCUGAAUAUCUCCAUGCUCUCUUCAAGGGUUCCUCAAUGUACUCAAACCCAUUACCACUUUUGUCACUAUCAAAACUAUAGUCACAUAAUUUUCUCGAAAUGAAUGAACUAUACGAUGAAAAUUUACAAAGAACCAUCCUUGCACCAAAUACAGCUACAGUGUUCAUUGUUGGAGUCUAUUAGACCCAUUAUAUAUGUAACCUUGAAGUACUGAACAAAUGCAAUAAACCCACCACCAGAUUGGCAUUUCUAGAUGCACAGAGCUCAAAAGACCUUACAAAAUCGAAUUGAGAGAUACCCAUUAAAUCGAAAAAACCCAAUUGCACAAAAUUGCUUUAUUCGAACUGGAAUAGAAGAGGUACUAGGGAAAUUUCACCAAGUAGAGCUGUAAGAAUUUCUUAACACAAAAUUGCUUUAUUCGACCUGGUACAAGACAGUUUGUUAGUAUCCAGAGUUCUUAAUCCGCCUCAAGGGAUACACGAAGUUUGAGUACUUCUGCUUCCG
rnacentral:misc_RNA from 1 species